AGUCCACACUGUAGACUGGAGACUCUGAGAUGGAAGUAGUGAUCUCUAACCACCAUCAUCCGUGUGUUCCUCUGGACCUGACAGAGUAUCAUCAGUGUAUCUGGACUCUGUCCUUCUGCACAGUCUCUGCAGACACACUGAGACUCCUCCACUCCUUCUGCUCCACACUCAACCACCUCCUCCACCUGGACCUGGGUUUCACUUUGUCUUUAUUCAUUCAUAUAUUCUGAACCCAAAGUGCCUCUGCAGAUUAGUUCUGUUUAUGACAACAGAACUGUAGAUUAACACAUUUAAAUAGAAGUUUCUGCUUUGCUUUCUGUUGCAGCUCCACCCUGUGGAACGAUGGAGUUUUGCAGUUAAUUUCCACAUGUAAUAUAUAUACUGUAUAUAUACCAUAUACCAUUUAUAUGCCAAUACCAGCUGUUUUUCAUAUUAUAACAGAUUUGCUUGUAACAAACAGAAAGAAGUAGAUAAAACUUGAACCUGAAUUCAAUCAAGGCUUCAGUUUCUCAACUGACUACAAACAGAUUAUGUCUGGAUUUUGGUGGAAAGUCAGCACCUUAAUAUUGUCUUUUUAUGUGAUGUUUGAAAAACAAUCCUGACUAUCUGUUUUUUUGCUGCAAAACAAAUCAUAUUUUUUUGUUUAUAACAGAUGCAUGUGUCACCAUUUUAGUAUUACAUUACAUGGCUCAACACAGACACAUGAGGUCAACCUGUGGAGCUUUUCCCCUCAGAAAUCAAUGUUGAGUCGCCGUUAUCACCACCGUGUUCAUGUUCUGUAGCUCCUGGUGGAAUUUUGUAAAAAAUGAAAUGCAAACAUAAAUUACUUUAUUUAAAAUGAUGAAUGCCUCUGCCUCGACUGUUCAGCUCAUUUUGCACACGGAAGAAGUCUUUGCCUUCAUCGCUUUCUGCCAGAAAGAGUUUAUUUUAACCCAAACCGUUAUCUUUUCCUAAACUUAACCAAGUAGAGCUGUUGCCUAAACCUGAGGAGGUUUCUGACAGAGGCAAACUUCUCCCAUAUGCACUCAAUUUCUGUAUCGAGUGUAGCAUUAAAGUGGGUUUAGCAAGCUAGUUAGCUAACUAGCCAGUUGAUAAAUUAGUCUAGUUUAACAACAAAAAGCUUCAUCCACACACACUGGUCACAGGUCAAAGGUCACAGCGUAGGAAAGCACAUCGCCAGUUGAGUGACAACUUUGUUUGGCUCUGUAACCAGUGUAGCAUGAAAGCAUGGCCCCGUUUCGACUGCAGGAACUUUCCUUCUGAACUAGGAACUUUUUUUUUUUUUUUAUUGUUUCUGCACAAUCUCCUCUUCCACACUGCAGUCCAAUUGGUGGCGGUAAUGCACCUCUAAACUGGUUUGCCAACGCCAAUAAACACCAAAGAAGAACAAGAAGAAGCAGCUUGACGAGUGUCGUGUGUUCUUUUAAUACAUCCAUGGUGUCAUGAGGAAAGGGUCCUCCAUGCUGUGAAUACAGACGGCUGGAAUCUACUCAAAGAUGAUCUCUCAAACGCAACUUUUGACCACAAAACAGCAAAGGUUGGUGCAGUCUCAGAUGUGUUCGGGAGUGAGUUCCAGAGGGAAGUGGCAGCUAUGGAGAAGGCUCUGUUGCUCCAGGUCCGCUGCUUGGUCCUGAAUGGUGGAAACAGGAGGUUGGCAUCAGAGGAGGCUGCAGGAAGAAGUGUGAUGGUGGAGCAGGCUUUGACGUGAGCAUCGGGAGGUUGGUGGGUUAUGAGUCCGCCACCACCCAGCGAAUCUGUUGGAAACAUAUCAGACAACAACACAGUCAACCUGUUCUCCUCCGUCCUCGUCGCACUCAUCUUGCCCGGGCUGGCGUGGGGGAUGUGGCCACGACACACUGACGACAGAUGAACAACACGGAUCCGGACGACUGAUCUGAGACCGACUGCUGAUUAUUUAGACAUUUAAGUAAUCUGUAUUAUUACAUGUUGGACAUGAAGAUACAGAGGCGAGGAAAAUAAAUA